rnacentral:rRNA from 1 species
AGAGUUUGAUCAUGGCUCAGAAUCAACGCUGGCGGCGUGCCUAACACAUGCAAGUCGAACGAGAAAGUGGAGCAAUCCAUGAGUACAGUGGCGCACGGGUGAGUAACACGUGAAUAAUCUACCUCCGAGUGGGGAAUAACUUAGGGAAACCUGAGCUAAUACCGCAUAACACUUACGAGUCAAAGCAGCAAUGCGCUUGG